rnacentral:rRNA from 1 species
GAUGUUGGGUUAAGUCCCGUAACCGAGCGUCAACCCUUGUCCUUAGUUACCAGCACGUUAAGGUGGGCACUCUAAGGAGACUGCCGGUGCAAAACCGGAGGAAGGUGGGGAUGACGUCAAGUCAUCAUGGCCCUUACGGCCUGGGCUACACACGUGCUACAAUGGUCGGUACAAAGGGUUGCCAAGCCGCGAGGUGGAGCUAAUCCCAUAAACCGAUCGUAGUCCGGAUCGCAGUCUGCAACUCGACUGCGUGAAGUCGGAAUCGCUAGUAAUCGUGAAUCAGAAUGUCACGGUGAAUACGUUCCCGGGCCUU